GACGAACGCUGGCGGCGUGCUUAACACAUGCAAGUCGAACGGAAAGGCCCUGCUUUUGUGGGGUGCUCGAGUGGCGAACGGGUGAGUAACACGUGAGUAACCUGCCCUUGACUUUGGGAUAACUUCAGGAAACUGGGGCUAAUACCGGAUAGGAGCUCCUGCUGCAUGGCGGGGGUUGGAAAGUUUCGGCGGUUGGGGAUGGACUCGCGGCUUAUCAGCUUGUUGGUGGGGUAGUGGCUUACCAAGGCUUUGAUGGGUAGCCGGCCUGAGAGGGUGACCGGCCACAUUGGGACUGAGAUACGGCCCAGACUCCUACGGGAGGCAGCAGUGGGGAAUAUUGCACAAUGGGCGGAAGCCUGAUGCAGCAACGCCGCGUGCGGGAUGACGGCCUUCGGGUUGUAAACCGCUUUCGCCUGUGACGAAGCGUGAGUGACGGUAAUGGGUAAAGAAGCACCGGCUAACUACGUG
rnacentral:rRNA from 1 species